rnacentral:lncRNA from 1 species
CCAUAACCUUCUCAAGAGACACGUCGACAUUCCGGUCGAAGAAGCAAGCUGCAAUGCAUGUAUUUUGAGAGAGGAGACCUCGGAUCACCUCUUUCUCUCAUGUGCAAAAACUGAGCAAAUUUGGGAUGAUAUCCAACGAUGGAUCGGCUUCACUACGGCUAGACCAAGAGGCGUGGCACAUCAUUUCAUUUCUUUCUGUCAUCAAGGUAGAGGUAAGAGAAGCCGCAAAAUCCUUAAAGCUUUGUGGAUGUGUGUUAUUUGGCUCAUCUGGAAAAAAAGAAACGAGAGCAGAUUCGAAGAUAAAUUUUGGGACGUCAAAAACCUUGUUCUGGAAGCUAAAGUCAGAUUAUGGAGCUGGCUUUCUUCGUUUAAAGUGUUGAAAGAUGGGUUUUGCCUCGAGCUCUGGUGUUCUCCGGAUUUCUCUCUGGCCUCCUGCUUAUCUGCUUAGUUUUUGCUCGGUUGUUUUCGGCCCACACUGUUCUAGCGUGACAAGGUUUGGGGCGCUGCCCUUGUCUCUGUUCCGACCAGUUUUUCUCAUGAGCCUUGGAGCAGUGAUUCGACUCUUGCUGUGAUUUUGUUGUGUCUUGGGGCUUGGAUGUCGUCAUUCAUCUCUCCGUCUGGCUUUGGUUCUCUUUUUUCUUUCUCUUUGCUUGUUUUGGGGUGGCUGCUAGGUUCAGUCCAUGCUCCCCUUUUCUGUUUUCUGCUUUCUUGUUCCUCUUCUUCUCUUUGUGGUACAUCUACCAUUUUGAUUUAAUGCAACUCCUUUUUUCCGAUAAAAAAAAAGUAAAGCAAUGAAAAAAUAAAGUGCACAC